CCGCGCCGAGCACUCGGCCGUCUGCACGAAGGUGCCGUGGUCGUGGUAGGCGAGUUCGCGUGUCUGCUGCUGGACGCGGCCUCGCUCCUCGGCGAGGCGCUCGGGCUCCCGCCGCAGCCACUCGACGCCGUGCGAGCUCAGCUCGCGCAGUGCCCCUUUGCCAUCACCGUCGACGCACAGCGGUGCUCUGCGCCACCUGCUCCAGGGAGCCGAGUUCCGCUCCGGGGAGCCGAGUUCCGCUCCGGGGAGCCAAGUUCCGCUCCGGGGAGCCGAGUUCCGCCCCGGGGAGCCGAGUUCCGCUCCGGGGAGCCGAGUUCCGCUCCGUGCGUCUCCAGCACCCCAGCUGCUUGGCUGCCUCAACCACCGCUCUGGGAGUUCGCUCUACGAAGACACCGUGCAGUGGCCAUGGCAUUCAAGAUGGGCUUCUUGCUCGAGAGGUCCUCUGCCAUCUGAUAUUGGGUUUACGAAUUGAUUCAAAACUUAAGUUCCAACCACGUAUUAAUCACAUCUCGCAGGAAAUCAAAUCAAAUAAAUAGGGUUUUAUUUAGACACGAACAUUUAUUUUCCAUUCGAUUACACUUGCAAAUUGUUUAAGAUAUUAUUCUACCAGUUUGACUAUUGAUGCUGCUUACAGAUCAGCUACUAAUGAUUCUUUAUACGUGACUUUACCGAAAGAACCAAAGAAUAAGACUAAACCCGCUUCAUAAUUCUCCUCUUCAAUCUGCACUUACAAGACAUACCAUUGUGACCUCCACUUAAAAUCCAAUCGCGUAUCACUGGAUGCAAGUUGAAAUCUACAUUGGGCCUUGUUCAUCCAUAAAAUCCUUCUUGGCAAAUCUGCGCUAUACUCAGAUAAUUUACAAUCCCGAUUGUCAAACCGAAGAAACCCAACACGUCCAUCAAAUUGCCUUUAACUUUGCGAAGAACACGAAUUGGAAUAGGUGACAACGCCCUUACCAUUGCAGCACAGACGUUUUGAAACGACCUCGUAUCCUCCCAUAACAUUAAACAAAUUCCGAAGCAGAUUACUGCUGGAUACAGCCACAUUUGCCAAUGUGAUUUGAACAUAUGAUUCGUAACAAUGUAUCGAUAGUUCAAUUUUAUCGAGGGACUGUUUUAAUUAUUUUUUCAAGCUUGGGAUUUGAUGUACAAACAAAUGCACUUUAAACGGAGAUACUUUAUGUAUUAUUUCAGGGGCGCCACGGUGGUGUGAUGUUAUCUUCUUGGUCUGGUAUGCAGGCAGGAGGUCGGGGGUUCAAUCCCGACCCUGACGCCUGUAUAUUUAGAGUUUGCGUGUUCUUCCCGUGGUCGCGUGGAUUUUUUCUCCAGGUCCUGUGGUUUUUCCCUCUACAUUUAGAAACAUGCGUAGAUUUAUAUUAUAUUAUUUUGCUGCUAUAAUUUCCACGUAAGCCACUUCGUUGAGCUAUCAUUUACGGCCAGGUCUCAUUUGAAAGAGAAGCUAAUAUCUCAGUGGACUAUAUUUUGUACUCCCAUCGUUGUUUUUGUAUUGUUUAUGUAACAUUCUAUACUUUAAUUCUAGAUUUGAAGCUUUCGUGACUGCAAGGAUUCAUACUCUUAGGUUUUUUUCGGUAACGUCACGUAGGUAAAAAAUAAAAUUAAAAGUUAAUAAAAGUAAUAAUGGAAAUAAAAUAAAAUAAUAAAUCACGACGUUUUGAAGGCAACACAAGUCUCCGUCAUCAGGUGGGACCGUGACAGCUAAUAUUACCUACGUGACUUUACCGAAAAAUCUAAGAGUACAUUCUAUACUGCCCUACAUGACAUCUGUGAAAAAGAUCUGCAAAGCCCAUCGGAUUUUUCCAGUAUGAAUAUUAAUAUUCUGAAAUAUUGGCAUGUGUUCAGGUGGUAGGAAUUGUACUGCCGCAUCGAGUGUGCGUUUUAUCAUCUGGUAUCUGUAUGUGACCGCAUUUGCAGUAAUCGUAUUCAGACCAGUCACAAGUUCGGGGUGCGUCUUACUUUCCAGUCUUAAUUAGGAAUUUGUUCAUGACCAAACGAACCCGGAAUACGCCCCGAUCUCAGUAGAUACUCUGGGGUUGAGCCUGGCGAGUUGCUUGCAUUGUACAUAACGAGUGUUAGAAGCUAAAAUUGUGGGCAGCAGGUGGCAGCGCAGCAAAAUCGAUUGUGCUGUACUUGUGCUCGCAAGCCUACCCUAUCAAGUAUAGUCAAUCCCACCCCCAACGACUUGCACGGCUAAGUCCUAAUCCAGCAGUGGAAUGACCCAAGCACUGUACGUGUGUCAUAGAUGUGACCGUGUCCCGAUAUUGGCAAGGAUACAAACGCACAAAAUGCACACACGUGUUGACUUCCUGGAGAACAUGGCCCAGCCCAGGCACACACUCUUUAUUGAGUUUCCACCGUACAUGAAUAACUUAGUUCGUAAAAUAAGGUAAAGCUUAUGCGUGGUUACAAGCAGGCAUCUUCGCAGUGGCAAGAUAAACACAUAGCACCGUAUUUAUAACACCGUGUGUAUAUGCUUGUGCGAGUGUGUGUAUAUAUACGUCUACACAUAUUACAUAAGUGACGAGAGGCGUUUUUUUGUGGGGUGCCACGUGAACGCACAACAAACCGAGCGUAUACAUUCGGGAUGGAGAUAACCAAAUCCGAAACCUUCACUUGUAAAUUUUUCAUCCACUACACAACAAUAACUUAGGCUACCUUUGCUAAAAUAAAUAGUUCAGAGCUUA